GCAAUACUUAGUGGCAGACGGGUGAGUAACAUGUAGGUAUCUGCCCUUUGGCCUGGAAUAACACGAGGAAACUUGUGCUAAUACCGGAUAAGUCUUUACGGAGAAAGCUUUAUGCACCAUUGGAUGAGCCUGCACUUGAUUAGUUUGUUGGUGGGGUAAUGGCCUACCAAGACUGUGAUCAAUAGCUGAUUUGAGAGGAUGAUCAGCCACAUUGGGACUGAGACACGGCCCAAACUCCUACGGGAGGCAGCAGUGGGGAAUCUUGCACAAUGGAGGAAACUCUGAUGCAGCGAUGCCGCGUGAGUGAAGAAGGCCCUUGGGUUGUAAAGCUCUUUCGUCGGGGAAGAAAAUGACUGUACCCGAAUAAGAAGGUCCGGCUAACUUCGUGCCAGCAGCCGCGGUAAUACGAAGGGACCUAGCGUAGUUCGGAAUUACUGGGCUUAAAGAGUUCGUAGGUGGUUGAAAAAGUUAGUGGUGAAAUCCCAGAGCUUAACUCUGGAACUGCCAUUAAAACUUUUCAGCUAGAGUAUGAUAGAGGAAAGCAGAAUUUCUAGUGUAGAGGUGAAAUUCGUAGAUAUUAGAAAGAAUACCAAUUGCGAAGGCAGCUUUCUGGAUCAUUACUGACACUGAGGAACGAAAGCAUGGGUAGCGAAGAGGAUUAGAUACCCUCGUAGUCCAUGCCGUAAACGAUGUGUGUUAGACGUUGGAAAUUUAUUUUCAGUGUCGCAGGGAAACCGAUAAACACACCGCCUGGGGAGUACGACCGCAAGGUUAAAACUCAAAUGAAUUGACGGGGACCCGCACAAGUAGUGGAGCAU
rnacentral:rRNA from 1 species